UAGGGAAUCUUCCGCAAUGGGCGAAAGCCUGACGGAGCAACGCCGCGUGAGUGAUGAAGGUCUUCGGAUCGUAAAACUCUGUUAUUAGGGAAGAACAAAUGUGUAAGUAACUAUGCACGUCUUGACGGUACCUAAUCAGAAAGCCACGGCUAACUACGUGCCAGCAGCCGCGGGAAUACGUAGGUGGCAAGCGUUAUCCGGAAUUAUUGGGCGUAAAGCGCGCGUAGGCGGUUUUUUAAGUCUGAUGUGAAAGCCCACGGCUCAACCGUGGAGGGUCAUUGGAAACUGGAAAACUUGAGUGCCGAAGAGGAAAGUGGAAUUCCAUGUGUAGCGGUGAAAUGCGCAGAGAUAUGGAGGAACACCAGUGGCGAAGGCGACUUUCUGGUCUGUAACUGACGCUGAUGUGCGAAAGCGUGGGGAUCAAACAGG
rnacentral:rRNA from 1 species